ACUCAGCGGUGUUGUGGUGUAAAAAGCGAUAAUGAGGUAUGAGUCAGCUGUGUGUGAAGUGUGUGUUCUUGUGGUGUGUUUGGGAGGAAUGAAGCCAUCACUCAUCUCACAGCAGCACUGUGAGAAAAACACCAGCUACUUCUGGAUCCAGUUUAUUUGGAAGAUUAAUUCCUUCCUCGAGACCACGCGCUCCCUCGGCUACCAGCUGACGUCUCCAUAAAACAACGAGAGAGAGAGAGAAAGAAACAAGCAGAAAAAAGAGGGACGGCGAGAUCCUGCGAGUCGACAUGUCUGGAUUUACAGCCACACGGGGACAAACUGCAGAGGGGUGAAGAACUCACACGGAGACGGCGGUCUAGAUGCUGAACUCCGUCUCAGACGUGUGGACUGAAGGACAGUCUGCCAGCCUCAGAGGUGUGACACACACAGGUGGUUUUACUAAUCGGCAUGUGGAGCUCAGAAACUCCACUGAAUCAUCUGUGUAACUCGACUGGAAAUAAAUCAUAAAUAAAAUGAGAUAAAUUUACCGUC